rnacentral:rRNA from 1 species
GGUGAACGCUGGCGGUAGGCCUAACACAUGCAAGUCGAACGGCAGCGCAGUAAGAGCUUGCUCUUACGGGUGGCGAGUGGCGGACGGGUGAGGAAUACAUCGGAAUCUACUUUUUCGUGGGGGAUAACGUAGGGAAACUUACGCUAAUACCGCAUACGACCUACGGGUGAAAGCAGGGGAUCUUCGGACCUUGCGCGAUUGAAUGAGCCGAUGUCGGAUUAGCUAGUUGGCGGGGUAAAGGCCCACCAAGGCGACGAUCCGUAGCUGGUCUGAGAGGAUGAUCGGCCACACUGGAACUGAGACACGGUCCAGACUCCUACGGGAGGCAGCAGUGGGGAAUAUUGGACAAUGGGCGCAAGCCUGAUCCAGCCAUACCGCGUGGGUGAAGAAGGCCUUCGGGUUGUAAAGCCCUUUUGUUGGGAAAGAAAAGCAGCAGGUUAAUACCCCGCUGUUCUGACGGUACCCAAAGAAUAAGCACCGGCUAACUUCGU